rnacentral:tRNA from 2 species
UCCUGGUUAGCUCAGUCGGUAGAGCGCUCCGCUAAAAAUAGAGAGGUCCCUGGUUUGAUACCUGGAUCAGGCA